UACGUAGGAGGCAAGCGUUGUCCGGAAUUACUGGGCGUAAAGCGCGUGUAGGUGGUGGGACAAGUCUGCUGUGAAAGCGCCUGGCUUAACCGGGCGAGGUCGGCGGAAACUGUCCGACUAGAGGACGGUAGAGGGGGGUGGAAUUCCCGGUGUAGUGGUGAAAUGCGUAGAGAUCGGGAGGAACACCCGUGGCGAAGGCGGCCCCCUGGGCCGGCCCUGACACUGAGGAGCGAAAGCAUGGGGAGCGAACAGG
rnacentral:rRNA from 1 species